rnacentral:rRNA from 1 species
AUUGAACGCUGGCGGCAGGCCUAACACAUGCAAGUCGAGCGGAUGAAGGGAGCUUGCUCCUGGAUUCAGCGGCGGACGGGUGAGUAAUGCCUAGGAAUCUGCCUGGUAGUGGGGGAUAACGUCCGGAAACGGGCGCUAAUACCGCAUACGUCCUGAGGGAGAAAGUGGGGGAUCUUCGGACCUCACGCUAUCAGAUGAGCCUAGGUCGGAUUAGCUAGUUUGUGGGGUAAAGAGCUACCAAGGCGACGAUCCGUAACUGGUCUGAGAGGAUGAUCAGUCACACGGGAACUGGGACACGGACCAUGCUCCUGCGGGAGGGAGCAGUGGGGAAUAUUGGACAAUGGGCGAAAGCCUUGUCCAGCCAUGCCGCGUGUGUGAAGAAGGUCUUCGGAUUGUAAAGCACUUUAAGUUGGGAGGAAGGGCAGUAAGUUAAUACCUUGCUGUUUUGACGUUACCAGCAGAAUAAGCACCGGCUAACUUCGUG